AGCGAACGCUGGCGGCAGGCCUAACACAUGCAAGUCGAACGAACUCUUCGGAGUUAGUGGCGGACGGGUGAGUAACACGUGGGAACGUGCCUUUUGGUUCGGAAUAACUCAGGGAAACUUGUGCUAAUACCGAAUGUGCCCUUCGGGGGAAAGAUUUAUCGCCAUUAGAGCGGCCCGCGUCUGAUUAGCUAGUUGGUGAGGUAACGGUUCACCAAGGCGACGAUCAGUAGCUGGUCUGAGAGGAUGACCAGCCACACUGGGACUGAGACACGGCCCAGACUCCUACGGGAGGCAGCAGUGGGGAAUCUUGCGCAAUGGGCGAAAGCCUGACGCAGCCAUGCCGCGUGAAUGAUGAAGGUCUUAGGAUUGUAAAAUUCUUUCACCGGGGACGAUAAUGACGGUACCCGGAGAAGAAGCCCCGGCUAACUUCGUG
rnacentral:rRNA from 1 species